rnacentral:miRNA from 1 species
CACCCAAAUCUUCCUCUCAGG